rnacentral:rRNA from 1 species
UACGUAGGCAGCAAGCGUUGUUCGGAAUUACUGGGCGUAAAGAGUGUGUAGGCGGUGCUCUAAGUCUGUUGUGAAAUCUCCCGGCUUAACUGGGAGGGUGCGCCGAAAACUGGAAGGCUUGAGUAUGGGAGAGGUAAGCGGAAUUCCUGGUGUAGCGGUGAAAUGCGUAGAUAUCAGGAAGAACACCCGUGGCUAAGGCGGCUCUCUAGUACGGUACUGACGCUGAGACGCGAAAGCGUGGGGAGCGAACAGG